rnacentral:tRNA from 1 species
GGCCCUGUGGCGGAACUGGCAGACGCAGCGGACUUAAAAUCCGCUUCUCCGUUUGGAGAGUGCGGGUUCGAAUCCCGCCGGGGCCA